rnacentral:rRNA from 1 species
ACGAGGAGGGAUCAUUA